rnacentral:lncRNA from 1 species
UUUUUAUCAAUUUUCAAUUUCAUGUGUUGUUUCCGUAUAUGUUAUGUUUCAUUGCUCAUGUGUUGUUUUCGUAUAUUUUAGCCGCUCGUCUUGAGCCUACUCAUUUGAUCCGAUAAUACCCCAUAUAGCAAUAAAAUUAUACUUUUAUUGCCAUUCAUAACUCUUAACAGACCAAUUAACAGACCGGGUUUUAUACAUCCGACCCA